CCUACGGGAGGCAGCAGUGGGGAAUAUUGCGCAAUGGGCGAAAGCCUGACGCAGCGACGCAGCGUGAGGGAUGAAGGCCUUCGGGUUGUAAACCUCUUUCAGCGGGGACGAAGCGAAAGUGACGGUACCCGCAGAAGAAGCACCGGCUAACUACGUGCCAGCAGCCGCGGUAAUACGUAGGGUGCAAGCAUUGUCCGGAUUUAUUGGGUCGUAAAGAGCUCGUAGGCGGCUUGUCACGUCGGGUGUGAAAACUUGGGGCUCAACCCCAAGCCUGCACUCGAUACGGGCUAGCUAGAGUGUUGCAGGGGAGACUGGAAUUCCUGGUGUAGCGGUGAAAUGCGCAGAUAUCAGGAGGAACACCGGUGGCGAAGGCGGGUCUCUGGGCAACUACUGACGCUGAGGAGCGAAAGCGUGGGGAGCGAACAGGAUUAGAUACCCUGGUAGUCCACGCCGUAAACGGUGGGCGCUAGGUGUGGGGAACCUUCCACGUUCUCUGUGCCGCAGCUACGCAUAAGCGCCCCGCCGUCGGGAGGUACGGCCGCGACGACGUAAACCUACGAAGAAGUUAGACGGCGNGAGACGUGCCGACGACGACGACGAGGGAGGUAGG
rnacentral:rRNA from 1 species